rnacentral:rRNA from 1 species
AUUGAACGCUGGCGGCAGGCCUAACACAUGCAAGUCGAGCGGAGCGGCGGACGGGUGUGUAAUGCCUAGGAAUCUGCCUGGUCGUGGGGGAUAACGUCCGGAAACGGGCGCUAAUACCGCAUACUAUCAGAUGAGCCUAGGGCGGAUUGGCUAGUUGGUGGGGUAAGGGCCUACCAAGGCGACGAUCCGUAACUGGUCUGAGAGGAGGAUCAGUCACACUGGAACUGAGACACGGUCCAGACUCCUACGGGAGGCAGCAGUGGGGAAUAUGGGACAAGGGGCGAAAGUCUGAUCCAGCCAUGCCGAGUGUGUGAAGAAGGUCUUCGGAUUGUAAAGCACUUUAAGUUGGGAGGCGUUACCAACAGAAUAAGCACCGGCUAACUUCGUGCCAGCCGCCGCGGUAAUUC